rnacentral:snRNA from 2 species
UAAUGUUACAGCUCUUUUAGAAUGUAUCUAGCAGGCUUUCCAGUUUUUGCAGGAAAGCUCCU